rnacentral:rRNA from 1 species
AACAAACGCUGGCGGCGUGCCUAACACAUGCAAGUCGUACGAGAAAGGGUCCUUCGGGGCCUGAGUAAAGUGGCGCACGGGUGAGUAACGCGUGGAUAAUCUGCCCUUCAGUUGGGAAUAACUCAUCGAAAGGUGGGCUAAUACCGAAUAAUGCUGUGAGACCUCGGUUGAUCAGCCAAAGAGAGCCUCUGCUUGCAAGCCCUCGCUGAAGGAUGAGUCCGCGUACCAUUAGCUAGUUGGUAGGGUAACGGCCUACCAAGGCGACGAUGGUUAGCUAGUCUGAGAGGAUGAUCAGCCACACUGGAACUGAGACACGGUCCAGACUCCUACGGGAGGCAGCAGUGAGGAAUCUUGCGCAAUGGGGGCAACCCUGACGCAGCAACGCCGCGUGAGUGAGGAAGGUCUUCGGAUCGUAAAGCUCUGUCGGAUGGAAAGAACCGCAUAGGGGUAAACAGCCCCUGUGUCUGACGGUACCAUCAAAGGAAGCACCGGCUAACUCCGUGCCAGCAGCCGCAGUAACAC